rnacentral:rRNA from 1 species
AGUCUGACCUGCCCUAUGAUGAAAAUUAAAUGGCCGCGAUAAUUUGAUCGUGCAAAGGUAGCAUAAUCAUUUGUUUCUUAAUUAGGAACUAGUAUGAAAGGUCGAACGAGAAAAUAACUGUCUCAAUUUAAUUUAAAUUAAAAUUUUAUUUUUAAGUAAAAAAGCUUAAAUAUUUUUUAAAGACGAGAAGACCCUAUAGAGUUUUAUAUUUAAUUAUUUUUUUUUUAUUUUUAGGAUUUAAUUUUAAAAUUAAUAAUUAUAUAUUUAGUUGGGGUGAUUUAAAAAUUAAAGAAACUUUUUAUUUUGUAGUAACAUUAAUGUAUGAUUAAUUGAUCCAUAGAUAAUGAUUAAAAGAUUAAAUUACCUUAGGGAUAACAGCGUAAUUUUUUUUGAGAGUUCUUAUCGAAAAAAUAGAUUGCGACCUCGAUGUUGGAUUAAAAUUAAUUUAUGGUGUAAAAGCUAUAUAAAUUAGGUCUGUUCGACCUUUAAAAUUUUACGUGAUCUGAGUUU